UAAGUUAGAAAGGGCGCACGGUGGAUGCCUUGACACUAGGAGUCGAUGAAGGACGGGACUAACGCCGAUAUGCUUCGGGGAGCUGUAAGUAAGCUUUGAUCCGAAGAUUUCCGAAUGGGGAAACCCACCAUACGUAAUGGUAUGGUAUCCUUAUCUGAAUACAUAGGGUAAGGAAGACAGACCCAGGGAACUGAAACAUCUAAGUACCUGGAGGAAGAGAAAGCAAAUGCGAUUUCCUGAGUAGCGGCGAGCGAAACGGAACAUAGCCCAAACCAAGAGGCUUGCCUCUUGGGGUUGUAGGACAUUCUAUACGGAGUUACAAAGGAACGAGGUAGACGAAGCGACCUGGAAAGGUCCGUCGUAGAGGGUAACAACCCCGUAGUCGAAACUUCGUUCUCUCUUGAAUGUAUCCUGAGUACGGCGGAACACGUGAAAUUCCGUCGGAAUCUGGGAGGACCAUCUCCCAAGGCUAAAUACUCCCUAGUGAUCGAUAGUGAACCAGUACCGUGAGGGAAAGGUGAAAAGCACCCCGGAAGGGGAGUGAAAGAGAUCCUGAAACCGUGUGCCUACAAAUAGUCAGAGCCCGUUAACGGGUGAUGGCGUGCCUUUUGUAGAAUGAACCGGCGAGUUACGAUCCCGUGCGAGGUUAAGCUGAAGAGGCGGAGCCGCAGCGAAAGCGAGUCUGAAUAGGGCGUUUAGUACGUGGUCGUAGACCCGAAACCAGGUGAUCUACCCAUGUCCAGGGUGAAGUUCAGGUAACACUGAAUGGAGGCCCGAACCCACGCACGUUGAAAAGUGCGGGGAUGAGGUGUGGGUAGCGGAGAAAUUCCAAUCGAACCUGGAGAUAGCUGGUUCUCCCCGAAAUAGCUUUAGGGCUAGCCUUAAGUGUAAGAGUCUUGGAGGUAGAGCACUGAUUGGACUAGGGGUCCUCAUCGGAUUACCGAAUUCAGUCAAACUCCGAAUGCCAAUGACUUAUCCUUAGGAGUCAGACUGCGAGUGAUAAGAUCCGUAGUCAAAAGGGAAACAGCCCAGACCGCCAGCUAAGGUCCCAAAGUGUGUAUUAAGUGGAAAAGGAUGUGGAGUUGCUUAGACAACUAGGAUGUUGGCUUAGAAGCAGCCACCAUUUAAAGAGUGCGUAAUAGCUCACUAGUCGAGUGACUCUGCGCCGAAAAUGUACCAGGGCUAAAUACACCACCGAAGCUGCGGAUUGAUACCAAUGGUAUCAGUGGUAGGGGAGCGUUCUAAGGACAGUGAAGUCAGACCGGAAGGACUGGUGGAGUGCUUAGAAGUGAGAAUGCCGGUAUGAGUAGCGAAAGACGGGUGAGAAUCCCGUCCACCGAAUGCCUAAGGUUUCCUGAGGAAGGCUCGUCCGCUCAGGGUUAGUCAGGACCUAAGCCGAGGCCGACAGGCGUAGGCGAUGGACAACAGGUUGAUAUUCCUGUACCACCUCUUUAUCGUUUGAGCAAUGGAGGGACGCAGAAGGAUAGAAGAAGCGUGCGAUUGGUUGUGCACGUCCAAGCAGUUAGGCUGAUAAGUAGGCAAAUCCGCUUAUCGUGAAGGCUGAGCUGUGAUGGGGAAGCUCCUUAUGGAGCGAAGUCUUUGAUUCCCCGCUGCCAAGAAAAGCUUCUAGCGAGAUAAAAGGUGCCUGUACCGCAAACCGACACAGGUAGGCGAGGAGAGAAUCCUAAGGUGUGCGAGAGAACUCUGGUUAAGGAACUCGGCAAAAUGACCCCGUAACUUCGGGAGAAGGGGUGCUUUCUUAACGGAAAGCCGCAGUGAAUAGGCCCAAGCGACUGUUUAGCAAAAACACAGCUCUCUGCGAAGCCGUAAGGCGAAGUAUAGGGGGUGACACCUGCCCGGUGCUGGAAGGUUAAGGAGAGGGGUUAGCGUAAGCGAAGCUCUGAACUGAAGCCCCAGUAAACGGCGGCCGUAACUAUAACGGUCCUAAGGUAGCGAAAUUCCUUGUCGGGUAAGUUCCGACCCGCACGAAAGGUGUAACGAUUUGGGCACUGUCUCAACCAGAGACUCGGUGAAAUUAUAGUACCUGUGAAGAUGCAGGUUACCCGCGACAGGACGGAAAGACCCCGUGGAGCUUUACUGUAGCCUGAUAUUGAAUUUUGGUACAGUUUGUACAGGAUAGGCGGGAGCCUUUGAAACCGGAGCGCUAGCUUCGGUGGAGGCGCUGGUGGGAUACCGCCCUGACUGUAUUGAAAUUCUAACCUACGGGUCUUAUCGACCCGGGAGACAGUGUCAGGUGGGCAGUUUGACUGGGGCGGUCGCCUCCUAAAGUGUAACGGAGGCGCCCAAAGGUUCCCUCAGAAUGGUUGGAAAUCAUUCGUAGAGUGCAAAGGCAUAAGGGAGCUUGACUGCGAGACCUACAAGUCGAGCAGGGACGAAAGUCGGGCUUAGUGAUCCGGUGGUUCCGCAUGGAAGGGCCAUCGCUCAACGGAUAAAAGCUACCCCGGGGAUAACAGGCUUAUCUCCCCCAAGAGUCCACAUCGACGGGGAGGUUUGGCACCUCGAUGUCGGCUCAUCGCAUCCUGGGGCUGUAGUCGGUCCCAAGGGUUGGGCUGUUCGCCCAUUAAAGCGGUACGCGAGCUGGGUUCAGAACGUCGUGAGACAGUUCGGUCCCUAUCCGUCGUGGGCGUAGGAAAUUUGAGAGGAGCUGUCCUUAGUACGAGAGGACCGGGAUGGACGCACCGCUGGUGUACCAGUUGUUCUGCCAAGGGCAUAGCUGGGUAGCUAUGUGCGGAAGGGAUAAGUGCUGAAAGCAUCUAAGCAUGAAGCCCCCUCAAGAUGAGAUUUCCCAUAGCGUAAGCUAGUAAGAUCCCUGAAAGAUGAUCAGGUUGAUAGGUUCGAGGUGGAAGCAUGGUGACAUGUGGAGCUGACGAAUACUAAUAGAUCGAGGACUUAACCA
rnacentral:rRNA from 1 species